UUCUUGUCUAUGAGAGGCUUCACAUUCACUAUGUCCUUAGCUGUUUCCUUGGCCCUUGCACUAUGUCCUUAGCUGAUUCCUUGGCCGUUGCUGCUGCCCUAGCAGGUUCAAGUGGCUGCAGGAAAAACCUCUCCUUCAAUGACAGCUCCAAGUCUCUUGGCUAUCAGAAUUUAAAGUCCCAGCUGCCAAUGCACAAAUUUUAGCCAUUAUAGCCGGAAAUUUCGUCCAAUAUCCAUAUAGGAAUAAACAACUUGUCUACACGCAGCAAGAAGAGGAAAUAGUGAUGAACUUACGCAGUCCACCGGAGGGAGGGGGAG
rnacentral:misc_RNA from 1 species